ensembl:lncRNA
CAAGACUGAGAUGGAGAUUUGUCUUUGUUUUCUGAUGUUUUAUUGACCAAAUAGUUCACCCACAGUGAAAGUAAUCAUUAUCUGCAGCUUUGAUUUCAUGCUACCGGCCACCAAACCGAGGAACUCCAAUAUAAAUGAGGAACCUUUAAAGAACCACAGAAAAUGUUUGGACGUUGGGGUGCAGCCAGGUUGAUUUUACAUCCACUCCAGGUGAACACACCCAUCUAAUGCCUGGCAUUACCCACAGUCUAACUUUAUAACCAACUUUGAGGAUCGAUAUUAUGGGAUGUAUCCUAGUGCAAACAGUAAAACUGCAGCAGUUUAAUGUCUAUGAGUCCUAGAAACAAUCAUUGGUAUCCUGGAUGUGUUUUUGUUUUCUGAUAAUUUACCAGAGAAAACCUUAAAAAGUGCAUUCUGGGUAAACCUUCAAGGCUCAUAUCAGCAUGUUGAUAGGUGGUUGGUCAGAACAAGUUAGAGACAAUGAAAUGAUCAUUUUUAUACCUACAUUAAAUACCAGGAUCAUCUAAUAGACAUGAUUCACUAUUAAAACUCUCAAAAUCAUUUUCUAAUGAAGUCAUGUUUUAACACUCGUGAGCAGAUUUAGUCUUAGAUUGUUACAUCUGGAUGGCUGUGAAACUGAUCUGGUUGCAGUUUUUAACAGAACUCAAAUGUCGUGCCUAUCUGCUGGACUGAUGAAGUUCUGAGGCUCAGAAAUGAUGGAAAAAGUGUAAAGUUUGGAUCCACCUCUGUAUGCUUCAAGGGUCUGUAACUCUGAAAAUAUUCACAGUAUGAAGAUAGAACUCUGCUUGUUUUCAUUAAAUACAUUAAAGUUACUGUAGAUAAUUACUGUGAAUCUCACUGAACUGAUUGAUUUUGUGCAGAUUUUAUUAAGUAAAUGAAAUAAGCGCUGCCCACUAGUGGCACUUCAGGUUACUGCAGGAGCUCCUUUAUUAGAUUAUUUCCUGCAGAAACAUCUGAAUUUCAUGCUCUAAACCCCAAUAGAUGACAUUUCUACCAGUGUUUAUUGUCAUCAGAUCGCAAGGAAUAAGAUCCAGGUUGAUAAAUGUCAGAAUUCCCCUUGUCAGGAUUUAAUCUGCUUCCAUUCCCUCACUGCAGAGGCCUUGGUUCGCUAUCUUAGCACAUCUGGGACGAUGCGCACACAGUAUGUAUACAACCCAAGUAUCUGGUUGUUCUUGUGUGUUCUUAGAGAUUCCUAAAGCGAGAAAAGGGGGAUUAAACGAUCUGAAACAGGAAAGAGCAGACUUGUAGUUGCAGAGGAUGCACAUCGGUUUUUGUUUUUUUUGUUUUACUGGCUUGUUUGUUGUGUAAAAACUUGAAACAAACUGCAGUAUGUGACCACAGCUGGAGGUCAACCACGGCUCUGUGUUGUCUCUUCGCGUCGCGCCAAGCCUUCUUUAACAGUGUUUGAUUUCUCUUCUCAUUGAAGUCCUUUUUUUUGGUUAACUUAAAACGGUCACCUCAAAAUGUUUAUCUCUGAUCAUAA